rnacentral:rRNA from 1 species
UACGAACCGUGCUAACGUUGCUCGGAAUCACUGGGCUUAAAGGGCGCGUAGGCGGGCAUUCAAGUCAGGUGUGAAAUCCUCCAGCUUAACUGGGGAACUGCGUCUGAUACUGGAUGGCUUGAGUUUGGGAGAGGGAUGCGGAAUUCCAGGUGUAGCGGUGAAAUGCGUAGAUAUCUGGAGGAACACCGGUGGCGAAGGCGGCAUCCUGGACCAACACUGACACUGAGGAGCGAAAGCCAGGGGAGCAAACGGG